rnacentral:misc_RNA from 1 species
CCUUGCUGCUGUGUACCACCAGAUUGUGAUCAGGGCAAUCCCAUUCAAGAGCAGAUCUUGAGGAUAGUAAUACUUGUGGUGGUUCAUUUCCAAGUGUGUUGUGGGCUCUUUUUUUUUGUGUGGAUCUUUAGCUUUUGUUUUGAUCCACUUUCUAUCCUCAUUGUGUUAUGUAUUGGAGAAUUACUUAUAUGAAGUUAAUGUGUAAAUUAUUGGAGUCUUGAUGUAAAUUGUAUUCCUAUCUUUUAAGAAUU